rnacentral:tRNA from 1 species
GUAGUGGUGGCACAGUUGGAAGGGCAUGGCUAUGAAGCUCCCGGUGCAGGGGGCUCAAAUCCCCCCCACCACG